rnacentral:rRNA from 1 species
UUUUCCGGUUGAUCCCGCCGGACCCCACUGCUAUCGGGAUAGGACUAAGACAUGCUAGUCAGGCGCUCUCAAGCCAAUGUGAGAGUGCGGCGCACAGCUCAGUAACACGUGGCUAACCUGCCCUUAGGACGGGGACACCCCCGGGAAACUGGGGUUAAUCCCCGAUAGGUGAAGAACUCUGGAAUGAGUCUUUGCCCAAAAGACGCUUACACUAUGCUUGUGGGCGCCGCCUAAGGAUGGGGCCGCGACCGAUCAGGUUGUUGGUGAGGCAAAGGCUCACCAAGCCUUUUACCGGUGCGGGCCGUGGGAGCGGGAGCCCGGAGAUGGGCACUGAGACAAGGGCCCAGGCCCUACGGGGCGCAGCAGUCGCGAAAACUUUGCAAUACACGAAAGUGUGACAGGGCUAUCCCGAGUGCCAUCCGCUGAGGAAGGCUUUUACCCAGUGUAGAAAGCUGGGAGAAUAAGGAGAGGGCAAGACUGGUGUCAGCCGCCGCGGUAAUACCAGCUCUCCGAGUGGUGUGGAUGUUUAUUGGGCCUAAAGCAUCCGUAGCUGGCUGGGCAAGUCCCCUGUUAAAUCCACCGAUUCAAUCGUUGGUGUGCGGGGGAUACUGUUCGGUUAGGGGACGGGAGAGGCCGACGGUAUUUUCGGGGUAGGGGUGAAAUCCUAUAAUCCCGGGAAGACCACCAGUGGCGAAGGCUGUCGGCUAGAACGCGCCCAACGGUGAGGGAUGAAAGCUGGGGGAGCGAACCGGAUUAGAUACCCGGGUAGUCCCAGCUGUAAACGAUGCAGGCUAGGUGUUUGGGCGGCCACGCGCUGCUCUAGUGCCGCAAAGAAGUUGUUAAGCCUGCCGCCUGGGGAGUACGGCCGCAAGGCUGAAACUUAAAGGAAUUGGAAUCACUAGU